UGUGUUUUAGAGAGUUCGGCGAUAGAGUCAAGUAUUGGACUACUGUGAACGAGCCCAAUAUCUUUGCCAUAGGUAGUUAUGAUCAAGCAAUCACCCCACCUCAGCGAUGUUCUCCUCCAUUUUGUGUUAUAGAGAGCACUAAGGGCAACUCAACAUUUGAACCGUACUUGGUAGUUCAUCACGUUUUGUUAGCGCAUUCUUCAGCUGUGAGAUUGUAUAGAAGAAAGUACAGGGUAUAUCACCUAAUCUUUUUUCACACCAGUACUUUUCUUGUAAACUUUUGUUGAUUCCCUAGAGACUAAUUACAUUGCAGGAGGAACAACACGGAUUUGUUGGUAUCUCUCUUUAUACAUUUGGAUUAGUUCCUCACACAAAUACAGAGAAAGACAGGGCAGCGUGUCAACGUAUCCGCGAUUUUUAUCUCGGUUGGUAAGUUUCUAAUUCUAACAUUGAUUGUAAUAUUUUCUCUUCUAAUAUUUUUGGUUACUGUUUAUGACUACACUGUAUAUGGAUAUGACAGUCUCAUCUCUCAUGUUGCAGGAUUAUGGAACCCUUGAUUCGCGGAGAUUAUCCCAAAAUUAUGAAGGCAAAUGCAGGGGCAAGAAUUCCAGCAUUCACAAGUCAUGAAUCCGAACAAGUUAAGGGUUCCUAUGACUUUAUUGGCAUAAUUCACUACACCAAAUUUAAUGUCACAGACAAUUCUGAUGCGCUGAAGUCAAAACUGAGAGAUUUCAUUGCAGACACGGCUGCGACGCUACUCGGUAUGUGUUGUAUUAUGUUUAAGUGUAGUAAAUUUCAAAUAUUAAAGUGAUAUAAACUUGAUGUACUUAUUGCAUUCACCUCAUCUUUUUCAUUAUGAUUCUGAUGUUUUCCGUGGUUUUGCAGGUGUAGAGGCUAUACUUACAGAGGACGAGGUAACGGUUAAAAAACUAGUUAUGAUUAUCAUCGUAAUUAAUUGGUCAAUCACUAGAUUACUUCUAUAUACAAACUAUCUUUAUUGACUUGACUUGACUCAGUACCCUGUCGCACCAUGGGCUUUACGAGAAAUUCUGGAUAUAUUCAAGAUUUUUUAUGGCAAUCCAAUUAUAUUCAUUCAUGAAAAUGGUAUGUUUACUUCUCAUUCAAGAUUUCAUUGAUUACAACAUUCUUUUAGGAAAAUGGUAUAUGGAUGUUGAUAGAGGUUUAAAUUUAAUAGAAUUAAUAAUAAAUUGCGGCCCAAAGGUUUUUCUUUGUCAUAGAAAGACAAAUAACAUUAUCACGAGGUGUAGCCCUGUGGUAAAAGGGUUAGGACGCUGAAAGAGUUUAAGACGGAGGUCCAAGAUUUGAUCCCUGCUGCUAACAUUUCUCUCUCCCCUCUAACAAUAUACUAACUAUACUAACAUUUGCAUGGAAUUGUAAACUUAAGCCUCAAGGGAUUUAACAAUGAUUUUGUGAAACAUUUAUCACGCUUGUUAUCAUUGUUUAAACUAAUGUUUCAUAAGAAGUUCCAAUGGAUUGAAUUAUCGAUAAAAGUCGGGUUUGUCAUGUUAGGCCAACGGACAGCAAGCAAUGCAUCGCUCCAUGACGUAUCAAGGGUGAAAUACUUGCAUGCAUACAUCGGUAGUGUGCUGGAUUCCUUGAGGUAUAUAUGUGAUUGCUACUCCAUCUUACAACAAUUUGAUCUCAAAAAUGUCUUUGAAGCAAGUUAUCAUCUAAUAAAUUAUACGCUAUGCUUUGAUACACCAUCUUAUUUUUUUCAGAAAUGGAUCAAAUAUAAAGGGAUAUUUUGUGUGGUCUUUUAUUGAUUCAUUCGAGUUGCUGGAUGGAUAUAAAUCAAUCUAUGGACUGUACUAUGUCGAUAGGAAUGAUCAAGAGUUGAGAAGAUAUCCAAAGCUCUCUGCAAAAUGGUAUAACCAAUUUUUAAAGGGUACAAGAUCCUCUCUAGUUGGUGCGAUUGAACUCAAGAACGAUCCAUCGCUUGUUUCUGUUGAACUCAAGAAUGAAUAAUUUGUAUGCCUUACCGUGUUGUUACAUAAUGGUGUUUCUUUUGAUAGUUUUUCAGUUUUUUAAGUUAGUUGGUAGUUGUUUGGGUGGUUAAGAAAUCUGUUAGUAAGUAGUCACUCAUUAUUAGAAGUCAUGUGUUGUCUAUUUGGGCAAUGUAGUACUAUAAUUUUCGAACUAAAAACUUAAUUAAUCAUAACUUAAACAACACCUAAAGUUUAUGGCAUAUGAUUGAAUUAAAUUGUGUAAAAAUAUAGCUCUCCGUAGAUAUUAUAAAAAAAAUAGACACGUAUAUUAAUAUAUGAAUAAAAAUAUGUACAUAUAUUAAUACAUUAAACAAAAUGUACGUUAAUUAUUUUCUUUAACUUCUAUAAUUAUGUGAAUGUUUUGUUUUUUUAGCGGAAAAAAUAUAUUAUGAAAAGUUGGCAUUAAUAUAUGUGAACGUUGGCGUUAAUCUUAAUGAAACGUUGGCUAUUAAAUUUUUUCUAAUGUUGGCUAUUCAAUUUUUUUACGAAGUUCCUAGCAAAUCCUUCAAAAGAACAGAGAAGGUAGUAUUGUUUUCAUUCCCCAAAAAAAGAAAAAGAAAGGAUACUCUACCUAGUAGUAGUUUUGUUUGUUUCCCAUUUUAUGCUAAUUUCUUACGGUAUCAUAUACUUAUAGGAAGACUUUAAGAAAAGAAAAAUUAUAAAACAGUAAAACAACUUGUAAUGAUGAAGCCUGAAGGCUUGCAGUGUCAGCUAUCAUGUAUCUGUCAUUUAAAUUCUCUUCCUAAAUAAAGUUUACAUAUUUAAGGUAUAUAUGGGUGAAAUAUAAGUUGAGAAUUAGAUAUGAUUAUAAUUUUAGAUACAAAAAUGAUAUUUGUACACAAUUUUUUGGACAACAAUCAGCGACAACAUAUAAGGAGACCACUUUUGUAACAACAUCAUAUUCAUAAGGGCAAUUUCGCAAAUAUAAAUGUGAAACAUUCUUAAAUCCACGCUUCAUUUUCUUCUUCCUCGCUACUUCUCUCUCCACUGCAACUUUUUCAUUCUCUCGAACCACCAAUCCGGUCAGAUCCGGCAACACCACCACAAUUGUCGCCGACCUCACCACCACUAUGUCUAUCGGUCGUUCUCUCACNNNNNNNGGUUGUUGUGGUGAGGACGGAUGGCGGCGACGAGUGGUGAAUGGUCGAGAAACACAGUGGAGAGAGACGGAAACCAACUAUGGGACAGGUUCCAAACUUCGCCGUGUUCAUCACCCUUUUCUGGGUUUGAUUUGAAGUUGGGAUUUUUUUGACAAAAUAAAAAUGAAUUAAAAUAAACAGAGAGAGAAAAUAAUAUUUUUUUAUUCAUUGUUUGAAAUUGUUGUCAAAUGUUGUCGAAAAUAUGAUGUUAGAAUAUCACUGCUCUUUUGGAUAUGAUUAUAAAUUUUUACUAUAUAUGUAAUUUUUACUAUAUAUUGAUAUUUGUAUUGAUAUGUAAUUUGUAAAUGUGAGUCCAUACUUGAAGGAUGAUGGUUCUUUUAUAUGUCUAAUUCUUCUUUAAAGAAUUCAUAUGUUAAUCAUAUAGAGGAAUUCUUAUUUGGGCACCAAUUAAAGAAAAAAUUAUUUAGUCAUAUACACAUGAUUAAACUAAAUAAAGAAAAAAUGAUUAAAUGAUGUGACAAUAUUAAUUUUUUUUUAAUUUUUUUUAAUUUGUGAGUGUGUGCCUAAAUAAUUUGUUCUUGGGUUUGUGACCAAGUAAGUAUUUUCAAUAUAUAUAUAUAUAGGAACUUUCAAGUGAGAAAUGUUUUAAAAUGAGAGGGUUAGAGGGAUGAAUAAUAACCAUUAGAUUGAAACAAACGGUUGAGAUAUUUUCUCUUAAUCUUUGUGUCGUUGUUUAUUGUAUUUCCAAGCUAUUUUUCAUAAACUUAAAAAUAAACAAUCCAAACGGGCCUUAAAAGAAACAUAUCUAAUUAAAUUCAAACCUCAGUGCAAGUGGUUAAUGUACUUUAUAUAAAGGAGUAGAUUUGGUGUAUCUAAGUUUGAUUUUUGACAAUGGAAAAAUUGAAGUCGGGUCCGGAUUAUUCACUUUGGUCAUCAUACAAUAGUUCACUUUAUUGUAUAUUGAAUUUAAAAAAUGUUGAAGUAAUAAAAAAAGAACACUAAAAGAAUUAAAUUAGUUUUAAUAUUUGCUUCCGUAAUUUCUUAGAACUUUAUAUGUUUAUUUUAAAAUGAUUAAUUUCAUAGUGACAAUCUUUUUCUUUUAUAAGGUUAAAAGGAUAUAUUAAGAAUGUUUAAGAAUAUUUUUUGACUUGUCAACGCAUAUAGAAGAUUUUCUUGACAAGUCAAAUGAUAUGGGAUUGGUAAAUAGACAAAACAUGGAAACAAUAAUAAACCAGCCAUCCUAGAAAGACUUGACACUAUGCUAAACUUGGAGGAUUUGGUUCCCCGAGGUGGAAGUUCAUGACCUUCCUUUCUACAAAUUUGAUCACACACCUUUAUUGACUGAAUUUGAAGCCCAUCCAGAUCUAAUAGGCAUAGAAAAAAAUUUAUAUAUGAAUAGAAAUAUAGGUCACCAUAAAAAUUAUAAAAAUAUAAAAAAAUAAAAUAAGUACGCGCAUCAAUAUAUGAAAAAAGUAGGUACACAUAUUAAUGUAUGAUUAAAAAUAUAUGUCUUCGUAAAAAUUACAACUAUAAAAAAAAUAUAAACUAAUAUAUUAUUGUAGUUGAUUAUUCUAAUAUUUUAUUGAUUUGAAAUAUUGUAAAAAUACAAUUGUGCCCCUUAAAAUAUGUGUCUAAAAAUAAAAAAAUUGAGAAGGGGUAGAUAAGUAAAUUCAUUAGUAUCUUCAUUUAAUAAAUUUAAAAUGAUAUUACAAAAAUAUAAAUUAAGGUAAUAUACAAACCAGUUAAGUGCUCGACUGUUUAUUUCUUAUCCUCUAUGGGAAUGAAGUUCGGUAUUGUCUUUUUUUUCACACACCUAAAAAAUGGAACCACACAAUUGUUUGAUCCUAAAAAAUGAAUACCAGAAAACAUAGAAGAUGGACCAAGCAAAAUAUGUGAUCCUUGUUUUCUUUUUGCUUCUAAACCUGGCUGUAGCUUUAGGAGUGUUGUUGAGUAAUAAUGAUGAUGAUAACUAUAGCAGAUAUGAUUUCCCAAAUGAGUUUGUUUUUGGGUCAGGCACAUCUGCUUAUCAGGUAGAAGGAGCUGCUAAUGAAGAUGGAAGAACUCCUAGCAUUUGGGAUACCUUUGCUCAUGCUGGUUAGUUCUUUUCUUGUUUUUCUUGUUAUCAUUUUUGGAAUUUUUUAUGAUAUGUAUUUUAAUUUUUUUUAUGAUAUGUAUUUAAUAUUUUUGAGAAAAAACUCAAGUUUCACAUUAAGGCCUAAAAAGGUUUGUCUGAAUAUAUGUUUAUAAAAUAAAGACAAUUUUCACCUUGCAGACCGAUUUUGUAUGGUUGACUUAGGCCUAACUCUCAAUUCUAAGAUGGUAUUAGAACCUCUUCCACAAUCCGCUGACCCGUUGCAAUCAGGUUUCUGAUCAGGUCAUCCACCAUUUAUAUCCGCACCCCCAAUGGUGUUAGGUGCGAAGAGUUUAUAAAGAGUGACACUCAUUUGUAUGUUUAAAAAUGUCAGUGAGAAAUUAAACUAUCAUUAUAUGAAAUGAAACUAUAAUUGUUGAUGCAAAACCAUUGAUAUGUCUUAAGUUAUAAGCUUUUGGAAUAGUCCAAAACCAAUUCACAUUAAUUGAGCAUAGUAAUGUACAAUUUAACUAUAUCAUUCACAUUAAUUGAGCAUUAUAAACCAAUUCUCAUACUUUCAUCUAAAAUUUUCUUAUAAAAAGGGUUUGCGCACGGAGGAAACGGAGAUGUAGCAUGUGACGUGUACCACAAAUACAAGGUAAACAAUACACAAAGCUUCUAUCUGUCUAAUUUUUCCCAGUGAUACAUUUUUUAAUAUGAUUCAUCUGUUCAUGCAGGAAGAUGUGCAGCUCAUGGUUGAAACAGGCCUUGAAGCCUUUCGAUUUUCCAUUUCUUGGUCAAGAUUGAUACCAAGUAUUCUGCUCAACUUAAACUUUAUAGUAUAAGUGCGGUGAAUUUUAGAUUUCUUUUAUUUCUUUCUGGAGUAAAGAAUGAAUGUCUUUGAAAAUGCUUUUAUUUAAACUCAGAUGGGAGAGGACCUGUCAACCCGAAGGGAUUGCAGUACUACAACAAUCUCAUCAAUGAACUCAUUAACAAUGGUUAGAUACGAGUUUUCUUAAUUCAAUUUAAGUUAAAGCAUGCCUUAAUUAAGAUUUCAUUCAAAAUUUAUAAACAUGAAAAGAAUUAUAUUUGUUUAAGUAAAUACAAGUCUUUCCCUUAUGCAGGAAUCGAACCACAUGUCACUCUACACAACUAUGAUCUCCCACAAGCACUUGAGGAUGAAUAUGGAGGAUGGCUUAGUCGUGAUGUCAUGUAUGUUCUGUGCAACUAUAGUGUAUUCCCUCCGUGACACUUUAUAAGCAAAAUUAUGCAUUAUAAUGUAUAAAAUUAUGUGUGGUACUAUGUGAUUGAUGCUUGAAAUAAGACUCUUUUCGUUAAUCAUUAGUUCCCUAAAGUUGGUCACUAUGUGGUUAAUUAUCUUAAUUCGAGUUUAUAGUUAAUAUUAUGAUUCUCCUUGCCUCACUUGCUUGUAUGAUAUUUUGUCAAACACACUUCAAUGCUUUGAAGAUUUCUUAUUCUAAAAAAUGUAUUUAUUAUGAAGAAAUAUCCUUAUAUUGCAACUUUUGACAGAAAUGAGAAUUAUGACUUGAAUGUCAAUGCAGAAAAGACUUCACAAACUACGCAGAUGUGUGUUUUAGAGAGUUCGGCGAUAGAGUCAAGUAUUGGACUACUGUGAACGAGCCCAAUAUCUUUGCCUUAGGUAGUUAUGAUCAAGGAAUCACCCCACCUCAGCGAUGUUCUCCUCCAUUUUGUAUUAUAGAGAGCACUAAGGGCAACUCAACAUUUGAACCAUACUUGGUAGUUCAUCAUAUUUUGUUAGCACAUUCUUCAGCUGUGAGAUUGUAUAGAAGAGAGUACACGGUAUAUGCCUAAUCUUUUUUCACACCAG
rnacentral:lncRNA from 1 species